UCCGCAUCUAUUUAUCAAAUUUCAGUAGGUUUUCUAAAUAUUUGCUGAAAGAACUUAUCAAGUACCAAUUGCCAGGUAAAAAGAGGAAGAGGGAGCUUAUCAUAUCGGAACCAUAUCCAGAAUCUGAGUAUUAUCCUAGUUGUAAUAUUCCAAAACCAGAUCAAGAGAGACUGGAGAGAAAGGCUGCUUAUGAACAAUCUAAGAAUGAUAUUACCAAGUGGGAACCUUCGGUCAAGAGAAACAGAGAGGCACCUACUUUAUAUUUUGAUGAGGAUGUAGACUUGGGAUUUUCAGGCGUAGGAGCAAUUGCUUCUGAAUUUGAACCCAGAAUUGAUUUCGAGAAGAAAAUUGCUUCCUUAGUGAAUGAUACUGAGGUCGUGGAAGCUCACAAAAAGAUGGUGCCAGGCUUCUUGAACUGAACAAGGUAAGGAGGUCAUAUUUAUACAUUCUGGCAUUCCAUAUAAAAAUGUAUGAUUGAUCCUCAUUUAUGGUUAUUGUUUUUAUGUGCUAUUCUAUUAUUGUAAAAGCAGCACAAAUGAUGAUAAAUAAAUAAGUUUCCUUUCUUGAUGCCAUUUUGUAGAUAUCCGUUGAAGAUGUGAAAGAUCGUCAGGCCCGAUUGGCUAAAAUGUGUAGUCUACUUUUCCGUCAUGAAACGAAGGUGAAGCGAAUAAAAAAGAUCAAGUCCAAAACCUAUCACCGCUUGUUGAAGAAAGAUAGAUCGAAAGCAUUCGAAGCUGAGAUUCAAUUGAAUCCAGAAGCUGCUAAAGACCUUGCAAUGAAACAAGAGUUCAAAAGAGCUGAGGUAUUGGAAUAUCUACGACAUGAUGUGAUUACUUCAGGAGUUGGGGUUAACUUUUGAUUUCAUUUUCGAUUCUUGAGAAUCAGCUGGUGCUUACAAUCCUUCUUGUUUCACGCAAGAAUGCAUAACUCUAAAACACAAAAACAGCUCCAAAAGGGCGAAGCGCAUCUUAAAAUGUGGUUUGGAUGUCCAAGAUGAAGGAACCCGAACAGCUUCGUCAACAUGCUACUUUGACCAGAAAAAUGAAAUCUAUGAAAGAUAGAAGUAGUAGCGAUGAGAGUACUGACAAUGAUGACAUUGAGGAAAUCUCAUAUGGUUCUGAUCAGGAUAUUGCAUCAAAACUGUUCAUGACAGCAAAAGAGAAGACACUUGAAGUGCUGGAAGGGGAUGAAGAAGUGCCUAAAUCUGGAGUGUUUUGUUUACCAUUUAUGGUAUGUUAUGUGCAUUUUUCAUUUCAAAAAUAGUAUAAUAUAAUGUAACAUAUUUAUAUGCUCGUUUACUUGAACAGGUACGUGGGUUGAAAAAGAGAAAAG
rnacentral:lncRNA from 1 species